CAGCAGAAGCUCCCAAAAGAGAGUACAUUGUUGUGGUUCUGGAAGGAACACCUAAAGCAGAAAAACGGCCCAUGGUGCUGGGAGUGGGGCCCAUGACUGGUAGGAUCAUCGCGGCUCCAGACGAUGGCGAUGCUUCUGAGUAAACUACUUCCAAAUGAUGACUUUCUGUCCUGCAGAUGAAGAGGAUGUGCCUUUCUCCUACACUUUCCCUUCCUCCUUUUACCCCUCAAAACACAAGGGACUAGUGUAUAGUUCCAAUGUAAAGAUAAACAUGAUAUACAGUGUUCAGAUCAAUGCCUGCUUUAUGGAACCAACUCGUCAACAAAGUGACACUCCAUUCUGACGUGCAUGUCCCCGAUGAGCCCAGUCAGUAGAACACAACUCUGGUUUAUCUUCAAUAAUUGUUCUUGUAACUUCUGUGAAACGCAACCUGUUUACUGCUGUGUGGACAAAACUGAGCCAUUCAGUCCACUUUUUUUUUUUCCUUACAGUGUUUACUGCUUCAAAAAUCACUCCAGUAAAAUACCUCAGUACCACAUCCUGUUAACCCAAUCACUGCCCAGCCACUUGUGAUGUGAACCUACAGUGUUAUCUCUUAGUCACCAGCAUUCUUUACAGUGCCCAACCUCGGUGUGAAAAUGCAACAUCUGGAAAGCACUUGCUGGGUCUUUUUUUAUGAAGAAACAUUCUUUACUCAUGUACAGUAGCUACAUUGCUACCUCAGUUUUCCUCUUGUUUUCAGUCUUUAAAAUUACACUACAGACCUCUUCUUGAUAGUAUUAGUGUUACACUUCCUAAGCCAACAGCUAAGCCACUAACUUCAAUAAGCACAUUCUUAUUUUGAUCACAGAACCAGCUUAUCCUGUAAAACUGAAGGCAUUCAUUGAUUUCCCUUUUUAUUUUUUUUAUUCCUUAAAGGGUCAUUUAACAGUGAAAAAACUGCUGCUGCACUGCUCUCCUGGGGUCAAAACUGUAAAGCAUGUUUCACUUCUGGCCACACCCCUCUAUAUUAAGAAUUGAAACAUAUUCCUCCUUAUAUUUUGCAGGCGAUCUAAUGAAUAUAAAGUGAAUGUACAAAAAAACUACGGAAAUCUUCUUGAUAUUAAGUUGCAACCUCCAUUGCACAGUUCUUCUCGCAUCCUUUAUCGCCAUCUGAUUAGCCAUAGAUACAGAAGGAAACUAUAAGGGUAUCGAUAAGGGAUACUAGCCUGAUGGCGAGUGUACUUUAUAUUUAAAAAAUUUACAUUUAAGUGUAGCUCAGCGGUUCUGUGAGGAGAAGUUGUAAGUGAGUUAGGGGGAAUACAUAAGCAGAAUCAUGUUCUUUCACUCUUUCUUUCUUUCUUUCUGUCCUUUUCGAGAGAGCUGUCCUUAUUCUGUUCUAGCAAUCAGUCCUGCAGUGUGGGUGUGUAAUUUAAAGGCUUGCAGCAAGUACGAAUGGUCCUGAUACGGAUGUGCUGGUGUGACAUAAAAUACGUGUGUUUGGGAAGCGUUGCAGUAUGUCUAAAGAAAAGUCUUUGGUGUGAAAUGCUUCGACAGCUCUGUUAUAGUUCUCUCUUCCUCGAUUCCCUCUUCACUUCUACUGUUGAAUUAGUUAGCUCGGCAUAAUACGGUAUUUAGAAAUGGAGGGAAGAAUUGGACUUAGUGUUUAGUUUGUAUUUUAAAAAUGGAAAUUACUGUCUGUCCGUGGUUUCUAUAAUAGGAUGUAAGUGAAUGCCUUUGACUUGGCAGGGGGCGGGAACUGGUUGUCACUCGUUACCGUUUUUCAUGUUUUUGAAAAAUAAAGAGGGAUCAAAAAUCA